GACGAACGCUGGCGGCGUGCUUAACACAUGCAAGUCGAACGAUGAUGCCAGCUUGCUGGUGGAUUAGUGGCGAACGGGUGAGUAACACGUGAGCAACCUGCCCCUGACUUCGGGAUAACCGCGGGAAACCGUGGCUAAUACCGGAUAUGACGCGCUAUCGCAUGGUGGUGUGUGGAAAGAUUUAUCGGUUGGGGAUGGGCUCGCGGCCUAUCGGCUUGUUGGUGGGGUGAUGGCCUACCAAGGCGACGACGGGUAGCCGGCCUGAGAGGGUGACCGGCCACACUGGGACUGAGACACGGCCCAGACUCCUACGGGAGGCAGCAGUGGGGAAUAUUGCACAAUGGGCGCAAGCCUGAUGCAGCGACGCCGCGUGAGGGAUGACGGCCUUCGGGUUGUAAACCUCUUUCAGUAGGGAAGAAGGCCUUCGGGUUGACGGUACCUGCAGAAGAAGCGCCGGCUAACUACGUG
rnacentral:rRNA from 1 species